rnacentral:rRNA from 1 species
CGCUGGCGGCGUGCUUAACACAUGCAAGUCGAACGGGAUCCCUGGCAGCUUGCUGCCGGGGUGAGAGUGGCGAACGGGUGAGUAAUGCGUGACCGACCUGCCCCAUGCACCGGAAUAGCUCCUGGAAACGGGUGGUAAUGCCGGAUGUUCCACAUGAGCGCAUGCGAGUGUGGGAAAGGCUUUUGCGGCAUGGGAUGGGGUCGCGUCCUAUCAGCUUGUUGGUGGGGUAACGGCCUACCAAGGCGUUGACGGGUAGCCGGCCUGAGAGGGCGACCGGCCACAUUGGGACUGAGAUACGGCCCAGACUCCUACGGGAGGCAGCAGUGGGGAAUAUUGCACAAUGGGCGCAAGCCUGAUGCAGCGACGCCGCGUGCGGGAUGGAGGCCUUCGGGUUGUAAACCGCUUUUGUUCAAGGGCAAGGCAGGUUUUUGGCCUGUUGAGUGGAUUGUUCGAAUAAGCACCGGCUAACUACGUGCCAGCAGCCGCGG